UCUAAAUGUAGGGGGCUGUGAUCUAAACUCUAAAUAGGAAGUGUGCGGAGUGAUACCUCAAAGGUCUUAAAUGAAAUCCUCGUUAACAAAAGAAAAAAUAAGAUCAGAAACUUUGUCGCAACAUCGAAGCACAUGCUUCAUCUGUUCAUAGUGCAAAAUUGUCAAAAAUUGUGGCUAGCUUUGAGGUAUUUAUCAAUCUAAUUGGGCAAUUCAUAGGUGUUCUUUCAGCCAAACUUUUCUUUCUUUUUUUCGUGAGAUUAUCAUCUUUUGAGAUUACCUAGUAGAAACCUUUCUAACUUGCAGAAAAAACUUGGUUAAGCACUGGCUGCACCUAUGGAGCCCUUCUAGAGGCUAGCAAAAUAGAUACUUGGUCUUCUAUAAGAAGGCUUCUAAAACGUGAGACUGAUAUUAGAGCAAUCACUAAAGAUGCUCGCUCUGCGCCAUACGCUUGGAUGAGAAACCAAAUAAGAUAGAGAAUGUAAUUUUCUCAUCGCUCAUGGAUAGAACCAUUGCCUUGCCUUCUUCACAAAAUAGGUGCAUUGGAGAUUCUGUUGAUCCUCUUGCUUCAAGCUCGUGGGACGAGGCAUCUCCAGAAAACACUCUGAUUACACCUGUGCAGUGCAAGUCUUUGUGGAGACAGUUUAAGGCAGAAACUGAGUAUACAGUCACUCAAGCUAUUUCAGCCUAGAGGCUCACAAGCGCAAGAACAACUGGUUACCUCCUCCAUAGGCUAUCAUGGCAAUAGUUGUUCUCAGGUUCAAUGAAUUCAUGCUUCUUUUAAGGAUGUAAUUAAAGUUUUUUGGAUAGUUCACGUAUGCCAAUAGUCCAAUUGGUUAAGGGACUUCUUAUUACUGACAAUUCAUUGUGUGAAAUUGAUGGAGUUCCAAUUGGACCCGAAUAUUGCAAAGUUUUUGUCUUAAAGUGAAAAAGUUGGAUGCUCAUUUGGAAACACCAUCCUAAGGUCUAAGAAAAGUUGGAGAAGCUGUUGAAAGACACAUUGUGUGGCGCUCAAUUCAUGUAUAUGAUGCUACCCUUUUGAGUACGUGAUAAUAUCUUCGCAUAUCGAUAUUGGAGCUUACUGUUGAUACUA